rnacentral:rRNA from 1 species
AACGAACGCUGGCGGCAUGCCUAACACAUGCAAGUCGAACGAGACCUUCGGGUCUAGUGGCGCACGGGUGCGUAACGCGUGGGGACCUGCCCUUAGGUUCGGAAUAACUCCCCGAAAGGGGUGCUAAUACCGGAUAAUGUCUUCGGACCAAAGAUUUAUCGCCUUUGGAUGGGCCCGCGUUGGAUUAGCUAGUUGGUAGGGUAAAAGCCUACCAAGGCGACGAUCCAUAGCUGGUCUGAGAGGAUGAUCAGCCACACUGGGACUGAGACACGGCCCAGACUCCUACGGGGGGCAGCAGUGGGGAAUAUUGGACAAUGGGCGAAAGCCUGAUCCAGCAAUGCCGCGUGAGUGAUGAAGGCCUUAGGGUUGUAAAGCUCUUUUACCCGGGAUGAUAAUGACAGUACCGGGAGAAUAAGCUCCGGCUAACUCCGUG